rnacentral:rRNA from 1 species
UUCCUACGGGGAGGCAGCAGUAGGGAAUCUUCCGCAAUGGACGAAAGUCUGACGGGAGCAACGCCGCGUGAGUGAUGAAGGUUUUCGGAUCGUAAAGCUCUGUUGUUAGGGAAGAACAAGUGCCGUUCAAAUAGGGCGGCACCUUGACGGUACCUAACCAGAAAGCCACGGCUAACUACGUGCCAGCAGCCGCGGUAAUACGUAGGUGGCAAGCGUUGUCCGGAAUUAUUGGGCGUAAAGGGCUCGCAGGCGGUUUCUUAAGUCUGAUGUGAAAGCCCCCGGCUCAACCGGGGAGGGUCAUUGGAAACUGGGGAACUUGAGUGCAGAAGAGGAGAGUGGAAUUCCACGUGUAGCGGUGAAAUGCGUAGAGAUGUGGAGGAACACCAGUGGCGAAGGCGACUCUCUGGUCUGUAACUGACGCUGAGGAGCGAAAGCGUGGGGAGCGAACAGGAUUAGAUACCCUGGUAGUCCA